CACAUGACUCUCGGCAACGGAUAUCUAGGCUCUUGCAUCGAUGAAGAACGUAGCAAAAUGCGAUACCUGGUGUGAAUUGCAGAAUCCCGUGAACCAUCGAGUUUUUGAACGCAAGUUGCGCCCGAGGCCUUCUGGCCGAGGGCACGUCUGCCUGGGCGUCACGC
rnacentral:rRNA from 1 species